rnacentral:lncRNA from 1 species
GUACUAUAUAAAAUGACGUUCAUAAGCAUAAAAGAAGAGAAUACUUGUUGCUCGUCGUCCAUCUUGUUAACACAACACACAUGCGCAGUAGGCGUAAUAAAAUGCAUUUUCCGCUUGUGUGGUCGUUUCGUUUUAGCGGCAAAGCGACUUCAACCGCCGCUUUUUGUACGCCGCGCCGAUUGUGUUCAUUGGCCCUAAAACAGUCAGACCUCGGCCAUUGCCGCAAGCACCUAGGCGUCGGUAGACCGAUGAUUAGUUGCUUGUCCAGGCUUCGCCGAGCCGCCGGCAAAGGGACGCUUUCCGUCCCUUUCCAUGGUUAACUCGGGCUAUAUGACAGCCAUAUGACAUAGCCACGCCCGUAGUUGAUGGGGGCUCAGCGAAGCCGGGACAAGCACCGAGUCAUCCGUGUUCGUGACUAGAGUCAAAAAAUUCUCCGAAAAGAUUUUGAGAGAUCUCUAACCUUUGAAAAAAUGAAGAGAAUGUUCGAAGAAAUCUCUCAUAUAGCGUUCAAAAAAUUCUGUUAGAGCAUUCUAGCGAUCUCUCCGUUCUCCAGUUCGAGAGUUGAAUAUUUCAGAGAACGCAGAGAUAAAAAAUAAAAAAUUGCGUCGCAAAACUCGGCAACGGUUUAUCAAUGUUUGAUGUGUAAUUUGUGCAUUGAAAAUUACGAUUUUGUUGCACAUUUCUUUGAAAAUCAUCAAAGUGAACGUUGAAUUCUGAUGAAACAUCAUCAUCAAUUUCUGAUGCUUCUAUACAAGAUCUGAAUUAAACAUUAAACAGAAGUCAAACAACAUGGACAAAGGCUGCAACAUUGCUGCUCAUCUCACUUCAUGAAAAAUUCCACGAUGAAUUUUAUUCUA